rnacentral:snoRNA from 1 species
CGGUGGCAAGUUUCCUCAAAGUUUGCAAAAGUUUGCUGCUUUGAUUUUUUCUCACCGAACAAUAAUUUUUGAAAUACUUCACCCCUUUCGACAAUUAAUUGUCGUUUGGUCUUUGCGAUUUCUUACAUUU